rnacentral:misc_RNA from 1 species
GUAAUAUUAUUUUUAGUAAAUAUGUCUAAUUUCACCUAAGAAUGAAUUACGGGUGACCACAACUAGAAUAUCUAUUUCUAGGUCUACAACUUAGGAAUCUAGGCACAGCUGUUUUUGAUACUCUGUUUGGUAACUGCUCAAAGAAAUUAAAAUUCAAGAACCACAAAUGGCAAGUAAAUCAAGCAACCAUGGCCAUGAAGGCCAAUUUCGUGAAGCAUAAUUUUUCAUGUUAAGCUCUGUUAAUUGCUACAUUCUUCUCGUGGUUUCUGCACAAAAUUACUGCAUACCGUCAACAUUUGAGAUGACCAUAGUCUUCUUAACCAGGUCCAGCUACGGAGGAAGCCAAUUUACCAGUCAACAUAAUUCAAGAGAAUCAACAAUCAGUGAAUAGUUGUGGUUUAGGCACUCCACUAGCCGCUCAAUCACAGUGACACACAUCAAGGUUGCAAUAAUUCAGAUUAGCCUUUAUUGAGCAUGAAACAAAGAAGGAAAUCAUGGAACUUGGCGAUUAGCCUUUUAUUGAUCAAACAAAAUCUCUGAACAAGAGAAAAUUGAGAUUUUUACAGAGAUUAUUACAAUGUACUCAGAUGGAAUGAAAACCAAUAAAAUUAAAUACAAAUUAUGAUAAGAACUUCACUUCUGCAUUGUCCUUCAAUCUUUUCUAUUGUGUUAUAAGGUGAUGCGAAGAGCUUUGUCAGAUCACAAGAACAGCAUAACAAGGACAACACCUUUUUUUCACAUCUGCGUCUUCUUCGUCUUUUUUUUUUUCUUUCUCUAUCUUCAACGAACAGAAGC